rnacentral:lncRNA from 10 species
AUUGGAGCAGAGUGUCCUUAUAAGACAGCUAUGCAAAGACAGACGCACACAGGGAAAACGCCAUGUGAUGAGGAAGGCAGAGGUGGAAGUUACACAGCUGCAAGCCAAGGGGAAUGCCAGAGAUUGCUAGCAAAUCACCAGAGGCUACGAAGAGACACAGAAGGACUCCCCUGCAGCCCUGCUGCUAAUACCUUAAUUUCGCACUUCUAGCCUCCAGAACUAAAUUAGGACACAGAUGCACACAGAAGGAAGCCCAUGUGAAGAUACAGGGAGAAGACAGCCAUCUGCAAGCCCAGGAGAGAAGCCUCAGGAGAAACCACCCCUGCUGACACCUGGAUCUCGGACUUCCAGCCUCUAGAACUGCGAGAGAAUAAAUUUCUGUUGAUUAACC